AACGAACGCUGGCGGCAGGCUUAACACAUGCAAGUCGAGCGCCCCGCCAGGGGAGCGGCCGACGGGUGAGUAACGCGUGGGAACGUACCUUUUGGUUCGGAACAACUCCGGGAAACUGGAGCUAAUACCGGAUAAGCCCUAACGGGGAAAGAUUUAUCGCCGAAAGAUCGGCCCGCGUCUGAUUAGCUAGUUGGUGAGGUAACGGCUCACCAAGGCGACGAUCAGUAGCUGGGCUGAGAGGAUGAUCAGCCACACUGGGACUGAGACACGGCCCAGACUCCUACGGGAGGCAGCAGUGGGGAAUAUUGGACAAUGGGCGCAAGCCUGAUCCAGCCAUGCCGCGUGAGUGAUGAAGGCCUUAGGGUUGUAAAGCUCUUUUGUCCGGGAAGAUAAUGACUGUACCGGAAGAAUAAGCCCCGGCUAACUUCGUG
rnacentral:rRNA from 1 species